rnacentral:miRNA from 1 species
CUUCCGGUCAAUGAGGUUGAUGUACCUCAUUGAUUGGAAGGGUUUCCUUCCGGUCAAUGAGGUUGAUCAUGUACCUCGUUGAUCGGAAGGAAACCCUUCCAAUCAGGGAGGUACAUCUACCUCUUUGACCGGAAG